rnacentral:lncRNA from 1 species
GCCAUUUCGAUAUACGGUGUCCACACAUCGAUGUAUAAGCAGAAAUGUUGGUCGGAACCAGUACCAGAACCUCGCAGGUCCGCCAAGCAGGGAACUUCAGAUCUAAGAGUGGGGACUUCCUAUUGGAAUCCAGCAAGAGUGGGGAUUUAAUUCCUAUUGGAAUCCAGCAAGAGUGGGGAUUUAAUUCCUAUUGGAAUCCAGCCAGAGUGGGGAUUUAAUUCCUAUUGGAAUCCAGCCAGAGUGGGGAUUUAAUUCCUAUUGGAAUCCAGCCAGAGUGGGGAUUUAAUUCCUGUUGGAAUCCAGCCAGAGUGAGGAUUUAAAUCCUAUUGGAAUCCAGCCAGAGUGAGGAUAUCCAACAAUUGGAACAUUUAUUCACCCACAAUCUCCAUUCAGAAUGACUGAGGGUUAGAAAGAUGAGUAAAUUAGAGUCCCUUAACCAUCUAACUCUAACUACUCAAACAACCAUUUCAGUAACGGGUGCAAGAAAUCCAACUAACAGAUUAUUAGUUUAGGAAAAUGUAUGUUAUUUAUCUGUGUGUAGCAUGAGAUUAAUUGUAUCAAUCAAUGCAAAUGUAAAAACACAUAGAAACAAACAAAUUCUAAAAAUCAAACUGAAAUAGAGCAUGCUGGGAAAUAUGAUAAUGAUGAGUGUGGUUUUGAAGGCUAGACCAGCAUCACCGGCUUGUCCAGCUAGUCGGCCAGCCUAACCAUGCUGGUCAGACCAGCCUAACCAGUUAGACCAUGCUGGUCAGACCAGAUUUAAAUAAAAUGUGAUUUGAUUUGAGUGUGACUGACCGGAAUAUCAAACCUAAGUGCUUCACAGAGGGAGGCUGUGGGAGUUAAUGUAAAGAAACUAGAUGCAGCUGCUAUGCUGAAGAAACAUAAUUGAAUAGCAGGAAAUAGCAAGGACAAUGAGUACAUUGACCGGAUAGAAAGGUGGAGGCAUGUAAUGUAAAUACCAUCUCUGAGUAGGAUGUCAUGACAGAGAUUGCAUUAGCUGAGAACAUAAUAACAUUUCCGCCUUCUAACAUACUAUUGUCAGGAGGAAACAGGAGAAGAAUGGUGGCAAAUUGACUGACAUGUGAACCAUAUACAAUAAAUGUAUUUUUGUUGUGUAAGCUAGGGGGUCUGCCACCAUUGUAAUCCAAACCGGAACAGAUGUGUGCGUAAACAAGCAAAAAACUUGGUUGGAAGACAAUGGUGGCGGAAGGGCUAAGGCUACAGUGUGUCCAUCAGCUAUUGGCUGCAGCCUCCACCCUCUGGUCUAAUGGAUGAGGGGGAUCAGGACCAGCUACAGUGUGUCCAUCAGCUAUUGGCUGCAGCCUCCACCCUCUGGUCUAAUGGAUGAGGGGGAUCAGGACCAGCUACAGUGUGGUGAACAUGGUACUGCUCCCAUUGACAGCAUCACUGUGACCUUCUACAGGCUCCAAGAGUGUUGAACAGACAACUAUUCACACAACAGCCAUUUUAUUUGGGGGGGUGACAGCUUUUUCUGAGGACUUCUUCCCUAGUUGUGGUGAUGAUUUGAUUGUGACUGACAGGAAGAUCAAACCUUCGUUCUUCACAGAGGGAGGCCAGUGUCAGAAACAGCUGGACAUUACAGUUUAUAGUGAUGGCAGCUGUUUCUGGAAGACUUCUUCCUUAGUAGUGCUGAUGAUGAGCCCAGUUCUGGUGUUCAAACUCAAUUAAAAAAAGCUAUUAUGCAUCGAAACCACUUCACACUCAAACGUUACAACGUUUGGUUUAUGACAAAUCAAAGAUAAUAUUUGGUUAUGAUCAGCUUAUAGGCUACCUCCCUAAGUCAAAUUCAGCAUGGGUCUACAAUACCUCUACGCUGUUCGAGUAUCGGUACAAAGCAAAAAAACGCUCUGGUCCUGCCUGUUACCAACAUGCUCCUCUUAAGAAUAAAGCAACACAGUU